CUAUGCUACAAGUGAGUUUGAUUAUAAGAUAACAAAGUAUACAAUACAUACAACGGAGUACAUAAUACGACACAACAAGUAUUACAAUACGUAGUAUGUUGUACAUUACAGUAUUUAACAAUUGACAUUACUUAUACACAGUAAAAUACAGUAUAGUUAUACACACAAUGUUAACAGAGUUUACGACCUGUCACUAAUUCUGUUUCUGACUAAUGUUUUGAAGUACUCGGAGGAGUUUUUGCAAUAAUCUUUAAAUGUAUCGCAGUUUCGAAUUUCUUCAGGUAAAGAAUUGAACACUCAAGCUGUUUCAUCUUGGAAGGUUCCAGAGAUAAUAGGGACUACUAGACGCCGGGCAGAUGAUGAUCGUAAUGGUCUUAUAGGAAUAUAUUCUUCUAAUUUUAAGUAUGAAGGCCAGUCAUCACAAUUCAUUGCUUUGUAUGCUAAUUUGGCAAGAUGAUAAUUCCUACGUUCCAAAAUUGGAAGCCAACCGAGAGACAUAACAUCAGUGAAUCUAGCGUACAAGAGUAGUGGUGCACUAGCACUCGCCAGACCUAACUGGCAGAACUAACAAUGACAUUUCUCUAUAACUUUGUGGGAAUGUUUUAUAUGUACUACAAGAAAUGGUCGAAGGCAUCAAAACGUGGGAACAGCCAAA